rnacentral:misc_RNA from 1 species
AUCUCUUCAAGGUAUAUUGGAUGUACUUAAAAGAAAAAUUAUCAUUAACACAAAGUGAACUUAUUCAAGCUAAAAAACCCUGGAAAGGAUCAGAUACAGUACACGUUAAGCAACAGCGACUACCUUUUUGUCAUCCUGUUGCAUUUGAUGGCAAAGGUAUUGUGGGCAAGUCUUUUGACCAUCUGGAGCUGAAAAAACCCGUACAAUUGCUGGAGCCACCUUGCCAGGAUCCUCCAAUCACUGAAGUCCAAACAAUUGCUGAGGCUGAAAAUUUAAGUGGUCCUGGUUGUACUCCACAGUUGGAAAAAACACAGCACAUAGAACUAGAGUUACGGAGGAAUGAUUCUUUAAAGAAAGAAAAAGCAAGUGCUUCCACGGGGACAUCAUUGAAUGGACGCAUGGAAUGGGCAUCCAAAGAGCUUUUGGAGUUUGU